GAGCGCGAGAGACAGUCAGUCUGUGUCUCGCCUCCGUGUGAGAAGAAUGUAAAUAAGACAUGAUAGAGACCAAAUAGAUAAGGAAGAUCUCCCUGGGAGAGCAGUGUACAUAGCAGAGAUACUUAGAGAUAUAUAUACAGAUACAUAUAUAUAUAUCUGUAAUACUUAUGUGUAUAUAUAUAGAUACAAAAUAAAAGAGACUCCAGCCUUUAUACGAGGAUUUUAAGUAUAAGAUAGAAAUAUGAUAAAGAAGGAAUAAUGAAAUCCACAUGAAGAAGAGAGGUGUGAUGCGCAUCCGAGAAUAAAGAGGAAAUAGAAUAUUUGGAUUUAUAUAAGACAUGAAUCAUUUAAAUGAGCGAAGCAGAACGUGUCAAGAAGGAAGAGGAUAAAACAGGAAGGAAGGAA
rnacentral:lncRNA from 1 species